CCUUACCAGGGUUUGACAUCCUGGGAAUCUCCGGGAAAACGGGAGAGUGCUUUGGGGAACGCAGUGACAGGUGGUGCAUGGCUGUCGUCAGCUCGUGUCGUGAGAUGUUGGGUUAAGUCCCGCAACGAGCGCAACCCACGUCUUUAGUUGCCAGCAUUCAGUUGUGCGAUCUAGAGAGACCGCCGGUGAUAACCGGAGAAAGGUGUGAUGACGUCAAGUCAUCAUGCCCCUUACAUCCUGAGUACACACGUACUACAAUGGUACGGACAAAGGGAGCAGACUCGCGAGAAUAGCAAUCCCAUAAACCGUGCCCCGUUCGAAUGCUAUGUUCCACCUCGCCUCCGUAAUUAAAUUCGUUUUAUCGCAAGUCAAGCAUAUGC
rnacentral:rRNA from 1 species